rnacentral:rRNA from 1 species
GGAAGCCCCGUGAGGGGUGGAGCCGACCGGUACUAACGGGCGACGGCGACA